AUUUCUAAGAUGUGUGUGCAUAUAUGAAGAUUUGAGAGGUUAGUUUGCAAGUGUAAAACAUUUUAAAUUUUGAACUUAUCAAAUGCUAAACUUAAAGCUUCAUUAAAUUUUUUCCCUAUGAAAAGUUUCCUGAUACUAAACAUAUUUUCAAACUAUGUUCUUGGAAUGUGAUUAUGAACCCAAGCUAACGUCCACAUUGGAUGCAGGACUAAUCAAAUCGAGGAUCAAAAUCUUCGGUGGAUGAAGAUUCACGAUGAUGCAUAUAAACAAUUGUUCCUUAGGGAUGGAUGGAUGGAUGGCAGCUCAUAUACUAACUACUAACAGUACUGGUACCUGAUGUGAAAUUAAUGGAUUAGGUUAUCAUUAAAUGUGUCAUCAAAAUUCAAACAACAUAUGGGAGACUUGUACCUUUUGUUGAGCUCUUAACUGAAGAUAUUCAAGAGUCACUCACCUUCACGGGACAACAUCUUGAAGUGUUGAACAAUCCAGCCUUACGAGGACAAAACCAAAUAUGCCAGAAGUGUUGACAAAAUGCUUCAAUCUGAUUUGUUCGUACUAUGCAAUUGAUUUGUUCCUACUAUUUGCAUCUGCAGAUUUCUUCCGCUGUCCAAAGAUCGCAUGACUGCUGGAAUCAUUAAUAGUGUAAUGUGACCACGGACACAUGAAUCAG
rnacentral:lncRNA from 1 species